AGUUGGUAGGGUAAGAGCCUACCAAGGCGACGAUGGAUAGCCGGCCUGAGAGGGUGAUCGGCCACACUGGGACUGAGACACGGCCCAGACUCCUACGGGAGGCAGCAGCUAAGAAUCUUCCGCAAUGGGCGAAAGCCUGACGGAGCGACGCCGCGUGGACGAAGAAGGCCGAAAGGUUGUAGAGUCCUUUUCUUAGGGAAGAAUAAUGUAAAGAAUGGAAUGCUUUACAGAUGACAUUAUCUGAGGAAUAAGCCCCGGCCAAUUACGUGCCAGCAGCCGCGGUAAUACGUAUGGGGCGAGCGUUGUUCGGAAUUAUUGGGCGUAAAGGGCGUGUAGGCGGUUUUAUAAGCCUGGUGUGAAAUCCCACAGCUCAACUGUGGAGACGCGCUGGGAACUGUAAGACUGGAGUUCAGGAGGGGAUGCUGGAAUUCCUGGUGUAGGGGUGAAAUCUGUAGAUAUCAGGAAGAACACCGAUGGCGAAGGCAAGCAUCUGGCCAUGGACUGACGCUGAGGCGCGAAAGCGUGGGGAGCGAACAGGAUUAGAUACCCUGGUAGUCCACGCUGUAAACGAUGUGCACUGGGUGUAGGAGGCGUUGAGCUUUCUGUGCCGUAGCUAACGCGUUAAGUGCACCGCCUGGGGAGUAUGCUCGCAAGGGUGAAACUCAAAGGAAUUGACGGGGGCCCGCACAAGCGGUGGAGCAUGUGGUUUAAUUCGACGAUACGCGAGGAACCUUACCAGGGCUUGACAUGUACUUGAAGGCUUAAGAGAUUAAGUCGACCUUUAGGGGACGGGUACACAGGUGCUGCAUGGUUGUCGUCAGCUCGUGUCGUGAGAUGUUGGGUUAAGCCCGCAACGAGCGCAACCCUUACUGUCUGUUGCCAGCAGGCCUUCGGGCGCUGGGGACUCAGGCAGAACUGCCGGUGACAAACCGGAGGAAGGUGGGGAUGACGUCAAAUCAUCAUGGCCCUUAUGUCCUGGGCUACACACGUGCUACAAUGGCCGGUACAAAGCGUUGCAAGACGGUGACGUCCUUAGCAAAUCGCAAAAAGCCGGUCUCAGUUCGGAUUGGAGUCUGAAACCCGACUCCAUGAAGUUGGAAUCGCUAGUAAUCGCGCAUCAGAAUGGCGCGGUGAAUAUGUUCCCGGGCCUUGUACACACCGCCCGUCACACCACCCGAGUUGGGGGUACCCGAAGUCGCUAGUCUAACUUUUAGAGGACGGUGCCGAAGGUAUGCCUGGUAAGGGGGGUGAAGUCGUAACAAGGUAGCCGUACCGGAAGGUGCGGCUG
rnacentral:rRNA from 1 species